ensembl:lncRNA
CUACAGUAGAUCCAGUGAAGGCAGAAAGUGGCCAUCUGGACUCUGCAGUGUUAAAGCAGACAAGUGGUAGAAGGUGGGUGCCCGAGGCCAUGUGACACAGAGCAACUGGAAGAAGCGUCUUGGGCAGUGGACCAGACUGGUGGUGCUGUGACCCUCAGAGCUCAUUAGGCUGUUUCUGGAGCAUAUCCCUUUGUUCUGCAAGGCACAGGAUCGUGUACACAGCAGCAGGAGGGGGCUCAGUUUCCUGCUGCUGCUCAUGGGAGGAGGACUUCCCACCCCAGGAAAGAGAAGACCAGGGGAAACUUGAGAAGGCUGCGAUGACACUGGAGGCACAGCUUCAGGGCUUUUAGCACUAUGCGUCACAUUCGUGUGACCCAUGACCAACAUGUAAUGUUGUGCCUGACGCACGUGAAGAGCUCUGCCUCUCUGGAGAGCGUCACAGAGGCUGCAGGGGUCCGGAGCUGGCAGCCCCCUGGGGCAGACGACAGCACCCUGUGACACCUGGUGCGUCAUCUGCAGCUGAGCUCCCAGUAAGGUCAGGCAGGAGACUGAUAAAUGACCCCACCUUGUCAACACCACCGUCAUUAGUGCUGUUAUCACCCUGCGAAUGGGAACGUGAAGGAAUUCAUAUCCCUGCCCUUGCCAAAGCUGGAGAGCAAGUGGGAACAGGAGCUGUGGAGGUGACUGUUCACACCACUUACAUUCUCCUGCAAAGCAGCACAAUGUUUGGUUUGUUAACCAAAGGGAUUUUGUAGCUGAUCAUUAAAUAUUAUUUCAGAUUAAUGGAAUUUA